CCUGGAAGGCCCGAGAGAAGCACAGAGAAGAGAAAUGGGAUUCGCGUUAAGGCCCGAAAUGACAGGUUCAUCCUUGGUUGUGCUGGUCGAUGCCCGACAAUCUUGUGCCAGAACAUUAAAACAAAACAAAACAACACAACCGUUGUGUGCCAAUAUCUUCACACUGAUAUAGAACUUUUACCUCCUUAUUAGUACAUGGUCAUAGGAUGCUAGGGUGCAACAGAAAUGAACGAGUUUACAGUACCCACAACUGUCUAAUCAGAAUGAUUUAAAAGCCCCCGGAACAAGAUAGACUCAAGACAACUAUAUCAGCGGACCUGUCACACAUGCUUUCUCUGCUCAACGGGGAAGACAGCUGCCCUGAGCGGGAGUCCACACACAGGAAAGCUCAACUCUGACCACGCUGGACUGAGGAGGCUGACCCAGCGAAAAGGACCCCAAAUCUACCUGUGGAUCUCUCGAAAAGAAAGGGAUGUGGCAAAAUACUGGAAGGACUGUGAGGGGAGCACACAGGCCACAGAGGGAUGCAUAAAACACUCCAGCGUGGCUCGAGAAGAUGGCUUUGCGAAGUCACAGACUGCAUGUGGGAAGAACCCACCAAGGAGCAAGAAGGGCUCCAAAUGGAUCACCAAGCACAUACAACUCAGUAUGUGCUACGAAUGAGAGGUGGACUGCAACAUGAAAAGCUUGAUAAUGAUGGAGACAGUUUGGUAAGUGUCUGAUAAAACUUGCCUGGACAGGAAAAACCUACAUGGACCUAAUUUUUUUUGGAGAUUUUUUUUUUUUUAAUAAUGGUUUCUUUAGUCACUAUGUACUCAGGUUUGAGCCGAUUUUCUCCAGUCUCCUGGGAAUUACCCAAACUGACCCCCGAGGAUAGAAAAAGUAACAAUGAGCAGACGGGGAAAGCUCUCACGGGAGCCAAUGGUCCCUGGAACAAGCGAGCGACACAGGCACACCCUGGAGGGAAGGCCCCCCUGGGGCCGCGCACGCGGCUCCCCAGCACAGGAAGGAGCAAACCGCUUCCCCGAUGUUGAUGUGAGGCCGGCAUCCUGUCAUCACCCAGACAGACCCUGCCGAUCGGCCCAGUGUGAGAGGCGGCGCUGGGUCUGGGUCAAUGCCAGACCUGAAGACAGUACAGCAGGGUCCAGAGCCAUGUGCUACCCACAAGCAGAACCCGUCGAGGAGUCUACUGCAGUUCACCACGUGACUACAACGAAUGGGGAAAGCCACGCAGUCGUUUCCACGGGCGCUGAAAAGCAAUUCGAGGAGACAGAACACUUACUUCUAGUGAAGGCUUUAAAAAACGACGAUCCGUUUUUACCAAUACUUCACAUUGUUUAAAAACAGACACAAUUAGGGGCACCUGGGUGGCUCAGGUCACCAUCCCGAGGUUCGUGAGUUUGAGCCCCGCAUCAGGCUCUCUGCCAUCAAGCGCGGAGCCCGCUGGGACCCUCCGUCUCCCUCCCCUGCUUGCACCCUCUCAAAAAUAAACAUUAAAAAAAAAAACAGACACGAUUAGAUAAAAGACAAAAUGAGAAGGGGACAAAUUAGAGAUGACAGCCAAAGAUAAUUCAGUAAUAACUCAGAAUCAAAUGAAAUUAAUACGUCAAAAUCAAUAGCUGUCUUAAAACCAACCACUGGUUUUAAAAAUGUAAUCAAAGAAAAGAUCCCACUUAAAAGAGCAAUUAACUCUCUCAACUUGGAUCUCUACCAUAUACACUGCAUCAAAAUAAAUUACAGGUGGCUCAAAGAGUUCAACAUAAUUAACGGCCAAGAAUAUUCAGAAUAGGGAAGGCCCUUCUAAACAAAUAAACCCAGAAGUCAAAAAUACUGACAAAAGUAUUGAAAUUUUUCCCACAGAGGGGGGAAAAAAUCAGAGAGGAAUGGCUAGUUUCUUGUAAAAAAAAAAAAAUCCUUCAAAUUGAAAGUAAAGAGGGGCAACCCAAAAUUAAAAUAAAAGCUAAGAAAAAACAGGAAAUUACGAAUGGCUUUUAAACAUGUGUGAGAUGUGUUCACUGGUAAUGAGAGAAAUUAAGAACUAGAACUACAGUUCCAUACCACCGGUUACCUGUCUACCCAGCAGAGAUCAAGUUCGGUAAUCCACCCCGUGAGACCCUCCACGCCGGAGAGACCUGGACAGACACGCACUUACACACGCCCGAUGUGAGCACAGACCCCUCUUCGGGGAGUGUUCCGGCAAUAUCCAGCAACAAUACACUUCGCUUCUGACCCAGCAGUUUUGCUGCUAGGAAUUUUAUCUAGGCUGUACCUAAUAUACGUAUACAAAUACACGUGGCCACACAAGGCCAUUAGCACGGUUUUUAGAAGAUGGGGUUUCUGUUUCAGACAAUUUCCUGACCCUCCCACUGAAAGUCACUUAAUACUGCCGGAUAAAUUACACCCCUGAAAAUGCACUGCUCGGUGUCUCAGUUGCCGGCAUGCAUGUGGGGUGGGACGAGUCUGUUGCCAGGUGCCAACCUCAGGAACUACGGGUAGGGCUGGAGCUUCCCAAAACACAGCGGCAAGAAGGUAAGACUUGGGCCCACCCAAAGGGGGUGGGAAUAGAUUCCUGCUUUACACACACACAAAAAAAGUCACAGUUCUAUAAAUGAGGGGUGCCUGGGUGGCUCAGGUAAGCAUCCGACUCUUGGGUUCGGCUCAGGUCAUGACCUCAUGGUUCGUGGGGCUCAAACCCCUGGGCUGAAAGCACAGAGGCGGCUUGGGAGUCUUUGUCUUUUCUUCUCUCUCUGCUCUCACUCUCUCAAAUUUUUUUUAAUGUUUAUUUUUGAGAGAGACAGGGCAUGAGUGGGGGAGGGGCCGAGAGAGGGCGACACAGAAUCUGAAGCAGGCUCCAGGCUGUCAGCACAGAGACUGACGCAGGGCUCGGACUCGUGAGCCUAAGUCGGAUGCCUCACAGACUGAGCCACCCAAGCGCCCCUCGAAAUAAGUAAAGUUAAAAAAAAUUCUUAUAUAAAACUGCGGUAAAUGAAAACACAGCCCCUGAAAUUAAAUUCAUUAGAUAGGCUGGAAGACUGUGUGGACUAGACGAUAAAUCUGAAAGAUGACCUAGAAUGGAGUGCACGUGAAUAAAAAAUGUGACCAACGGAUUAGGAGACACAAAUGAUGGAAGGGGACAGCUCAGCCUGUGUCCAAAAGAAGUUCCAGACGGAGAAAACAGAGCAUACUGCAAAGAGGCAAUAUUCGAAUAGCGAGCGGCGGGCAGGUUUCUAGCAUUCACGGGGUUAAAGGUGCCCGCUCCCUCUAGUCGCGGGCACUGUCAUGCUGUUUGCGAAGCAGACUCGUUCACGACGGGGGCACUGGGUAGGCUGGGCGGUGGCCGCACAGGCACGCUGUUCCUGUUCAAACCGUGCCGUGUCUCACACGCGCUCCCGUACGUAAACCUGGAGUUCAGAAAUCCGUACUCCUGGCACACGGGCGAGGGCCUGGAACCACCUCACACUCUCUGACUAUGGCGCGCCCCGCGGGCCCCCCUCCCCGGCGCGGGGUCUGGACCCGAGAUGCAGACAGCGUGGAGCAGACUUGGGAGACCAAGGUCUCCCUCCAUCAGCAUUUAGAGCCACUUGAGGCAUCUGUGAGAAAAGGUGGACCCCCUGGAAAAGGCAGGCUGGCAGCAGGCGACAGCUGCACCGCUUACCAACCGCAACGUGAAGGGGAAGAUUCUAGCCCCAGUACUUGUCAGCGGAUAUCUGCUUAAUAGGGGUCCAUUUCACCGUGGUGAUUUUCAUAAAGAGCUCCUCUGUUGAAUAUUUAUUCUCCAUAAUUUACAGUUUGGCUGUUAGGAAGACAAAGGCAAACACAAAUUCGGUCCAGAAGUUCAAAGUUUGCCAUCUGUUUUCCUAUUGUAUUUAGAUACCAGCAUGGAUGGCUCCAAACAAAAUAAACAAAUACACCAAAAGAUGCAGCAUUUGCGUAUUUAACAUCACUAAGAAA